AUUGAACGCUGGCGGCAUGCCUUACACAUGCAAGUCGAACGGUAACGGGCCUUCGGGUGCCGACGAGUGGCGAACGGGUGAGUAAUACAUCGGAACGUGCCCGAUCGUGGGGGAUAACGAGGCGAAAGCUUUGCUAAUACCGCAUACGAUCUACGGAUGAAAGCCGGGGACCGCAAGGCCUUGCGCGGACGGAGCGGCCGAUGGCAGAUUAGGUAGUUGGUGGGAUAAAAGCUUACCAAGCCGACGAUCUGUAGCUGGUCUGAGAGGAUGAUCAGCCACACUGGGACUGAGACACGGCCCAGACUCCGGCGGGAGGCAACAGUGGGGAAUUUUGGGCAAUGGGGGCGAGCCUGAUCCAGCCAUGCGGCGUGCAGGAUGAAGGCGUUCGGGUUGUAAACUGCUUUUGUACGGAGCGAAAUGCCUUCUUUUAAUACGGGAUGGUCAUGACGGUACCGUAAGAAUAAGCACCGGCUAACUACGUG
rnacentral:rRNA from 1 species